rnacentral:lncRNA from 1 species
AGCAGCCGAGCCGGAGGAGGACGACGAGGAGGAGGAGACGGAGGCGGCGAUGGACGACGAGGACGCGCCACUGGACCAUGCGUAGGCCCUGAUCUCGCGGGUCGUCGAGCAGAAGGCCAACCCCAACCCGCGCCUCAUCCACACCCUCGCCACCAUCGCGGAGGACCGGGAGACCAGGUGCAGAACCCUCGUGUUCUUGGACGCGUUCUUGCAAAGUCUUAAUAGUAUACAUCUGUUCAUAUGAUAUUUAUGCCGUUUGCUUGCGGGCUAGGAAGCCGAUGUAGUGACGAAAGACAUAAAAGAUGUACUGUACUGGCUAUGCAAGUCAAGUCCAGCGAGUGGAGUGGAGUGGUCGAUAAAAAAUCAAAAAAAUACUGUCGCGUGCUUGCCAGUGUGUCAUCAUGCGUAAAAAGCAGUUGGGGUUGACCAAGUAGACUCUGUAUUUUUGUUUGAUUUGAUCUGAUAUGAUGUCGAGGUUUUCAGAGCCCAGUGCAAGUUUAAUCUCUUUGCUUUUUAUAUAAUCCACAGUAAGUAUAUAUGAAGCACAUGCUUGAUUGAGAUUUGUAGGCUUGUAGCACAUAGUGUUUGCCGAGUCACAUUACUACUGAGACAUUCCUUAUAAAUUCCUUUAGAUGGUGCUUUGUUCGUAUAACAUUGAUGAACUUUUUCAGUUAGGUGGUGGUGGGGAUUCACUCACAGUCAUUUUCAAUGCUCAUCAUGUUAUUUCCAUAAAAGUAAAAUAGUGAGAUGAGGUCAUCAUCAUCUAACAAAUGAGAAAUUAGUCAAUGCCACCCACGAAAAAAUGAGGUCAACAUUGUUCAGGGAAGAAUGGAACUCACUGUAUUAGGAUACCAAAUUCUCGCUAUACGCUUAUCAGUAGUUAUCAGUUUAGGUUCAUGAAAGUUUUAGUGGCCGUCGCUAGCGUUCCAAAGGUACCACAAUGUUCCAUGGUUAGAAAUAGAAGAUAGCGUACAUGAGGCCAAAUCUUGACAUGGUUCAGUCAUCCACAUAUUCUAGAAACUGCAGAUCAGAUUUAACAACUAUCUUAGGAGUAGCAGACACAUAUAUAUAAUUUAGAAAAGAAUGGUCUAUAGUAGAGAAAGAAAAUGACCAAAACUGAAACUAUAUAACCGGAGGCAUUAAACCAACUACUUUCUCUGUUUUUAUGUAUUUUGCAUUAUGUUUCAGCUAAUCAGCGAUACAUGCCCCUGUUUCGGUUUAUUUUUCUAAAAAAUUGGUAAUCCUGGAGAACAUACUGGAAGCAUACGGAGUUACUGCCAUGGCAUGUUAAUGUCAAGAGCCAUUCGUAGGCAAGCUGCUUCCUAUAGUUCCUAUAGUGACAAAUGGUGGCUCUGCCAGGUUUCUCUGCACUGAUAGUGUGCAGUGAGAAGUAUGAUGAACCAAACAGAUACUUGAGUUUCGGCUCGGUAUUUAUAUUCAGAUUUGACAGGAAUAGAAUCUGAACCUAUUAAAUUGUUAUGUUAAGCUAGAUGAGUUGUUCAUACUUCAGACCUAAGCUAACACCUAGCUUACUUGAGUUUCGGCUCGGUAUUAUUUAACACCAUGCAUUCAUUUCUGAAUUACUGUUUGAACAAUUUGAGUAUGGGAUGUUUAACUUCUACUCCCUUCGUCCCAAAAUAAGUGUCUCAACUUUAUACUAACUUUAGUGUAAAGUUGUAUUAAGGUUAAGACACUUAGUUUGGGAUAGAGGAAGUAUUUUUUAUUGUGAUUGCAGAAAAUGGAUCACAACGAUGAGUGCACGUAGUGAGUUAAGGCUCAUCAGAUAAAUCGUUUGGACUAACCAAGAGGAUGAGGUAUGUUGACUGCCAUGCUAAGUGAUGUGUCAGGUUUUUUUGUUAUAUAGUUACAUGCACUAAAAAAAAUACACUUUCGUGAUGAUACGUGUUUGUCACAGUAGGUCACGUUUUUUGUCAUGCAUGUACAUCCAUGACAAAUUUAUGACAGAAUCAAGAUAGUCAUACCUGUGCUGUCGUAGAAGUGUUCCAUGACGUUACCAAAAUUAUCAUCACGGAAGUGUCCACUUUCAUGACGAUAAAUCGCGCGUCAUAGAAGUGCUUUCGUCAAGGGUGGCCGACACGUGGCAUUCACCGUAACGAAACGCCGUUAAGUUAUCAUGUCCGGUUUUGGAUCCGAUAACCCGUUAACAACCCGGACCAAUAGGGAUUUUCCACGUGUAAAAUCAUCAUUGGUUGUAGGAAACACGUGUCAGCUCCAUGUUGGCACAGGUGUCACUCAUUCAAUGGGCGAGAUGCGCCUAUGAUAUGUUAACACGUGGACCGGCCCAAAAGUGGCCCAUAAAGUUUAAAUGGGCCGGCCCAACUAAAGGCCCAUAAGAUUUUACGGACCAUAAUGGGCUGGACCAGGUAAAGGCCCACAAAAUCUUGUGGGCCAUAAUGGGCCAGCCCAGAUCAGGUCUGGCCCUUUAAGAGGCUUUGGGCUAAAUUAUGGCCCAUAUUAGAUUCGGCCCGUCAACUGGACGCUAUGCUUUUGGGCCCACUUGCUAAAGGCCCAUUUAGUAAUUCGGCCUGAUAUUAGUUUCGGCCUGUUAAGGGUCCGUUUAACAUUUCGUCCCUAUAUUAAUUUUGGCCUGUUAAAAGCCCAUCAUAUAGUUGGGCCUAACUACGGCCCGGUUUGCAUCCGGCCUGCUCGCAGCCGAUAAUCUGAUUGGGCCAAAUAAAGACCGAGACAAUUUUGGCCUAUUAUAAGCCCAUGAUUUGAUUGGCACAUUCAUGGGUCGGGGUCUAUUUCGGCCUGCUGCCGGCCCGUGAGCUGUUUGGCACGUUUCAGGCCCAACCUACUUUUCAGCCUCCUAAAGGCCCAUUGAGUUUUCUUGGAAAAAUAGGGCCGGCGGUUUACUCGGCCUAUUAGAGCAUGUCCAACACGGGGCGCUAAGGCAAGGCGCCAGGAUUGUUAUCCUGGCCGAUCGUUCAGUUAAGCGCUCAAAUCCUGGCGCUCGACGCGGCAUCGACGCAAAAUAGGGAGUCGAGCGCUUGGCUUUGUUUUGCCGUGCGAGGUAAAGCGUCGAGUGCGGCGGCAGGUUAUUUUAGCGCCCGUGAUUAGCGUUUAGGGUUGGAGCAGUAGGCGCUAAGGUUAGCUUUUAAUUCUAGGAUAUUUAUUUUAUUUUCCUAAGCACCUCUACAGGCGCCCUGCAUUGAAGAUGCCCUUAAAGGUCCGAAUCUACUAGUGGGCUAGUUUGGUCCGAAUCUACUAGUGGGCUAGUUUACAUUUAGGCCUGUUAACGGACCAAGAUGACGGGCCCAUGAUGCAGAUCAUACAUGGUGAUUUGCAUGACGGCCCGAUUAUGUACCGUAAUUGUAUGGUUUGGCCGGUUUACUACGAAGACAUGAUAUAUAUACAGUAAAAUAACUGCAGCAUCGUGAAUAAGAAAAAAACCUAGACUAUACAAUAAAGAAAUUAUGGCAUAUUACAUCCACUGGGCAUCAAAGUUCGCCACUAUGAUAAUAAAGCACAAGCCGACAGCAGAUUACAUACACUGGGCAUCAAAGACCGCCACCAGUGCAACUAAACACGCUGACAAAAUAAUAUACAAAACCGACAACACUUCAAUAGAGUUCAAGAAAGGUUAGCCCUGCUCGAGAGCUGCAGCGCAAGCAGCUGAGCAAGCUGGUGAGACUGCACUUGUUUGAGACUUAUAUCCUCCUCACUCUAAAAGAUAAACAAGCAGACAGAUGACAAGUUUUGCACAUAUAAGUAUCAGUGCUGACAAUUCAUCAUAUUUCUUACUGACAAAUAAAGUGACACAGUUUAAAAUAGCAUUAACACAAUAUGGUAUUGUUCAGAUUAAGACAUGACAGGAAAUGACAUUGUGAAGGAGUUGGCAGCUUCACAACACCACUGGAUUACAGAUCAAGAACUCAUAAGUAUCAUUAGUUAGUGUGCUAUCAAUUUAUCCCAUUUCAGAUUGGCAAAAUAAGAUCACUUGCUCUGUAUAGUUUAAUUUACAUGGUAUGAAGAAGGAACUUGGUUGUACAACCUGAAACUUAAAUUGAGAAGGACAAACUUUUGUUUAUGAACUGGAGUACAUAAUAAACUUUAAACAUGCAAUUUGAUGCAAACACCAAAAAUAAACAGCUGUUGCAGUCAUGCCUAACCAAAUAUACACAACAAAGUUUGAAGGCUUGAGAAGGACAAACUUACAUUAUUGGUGAAGGCAGGCUCUAUAAAGCCUUUGUCCAUGCUGAUUGGGGGGGGGGACAAUUCAAGAAGUUUACCACAGAAUCUUCUUCAUAAGCAUUGCCUUUAUUCUACAUUUUGUUAAGAGUAAAUAUAGAUGUGACAAUAUAAGAAAAAAUGAAGAAUAUUUAAGAUAAGAUGAAGAGUGAUGCUACAUAACCAAGUAGCUAUAAAUGUAAGUACAGCGAUACAGGCAAAAGGUACAUCCAAGAGCAAUGCAGAGCUAAACUUUUUCAGUACCAUCGGUGUUAUCCAACCUUAUGGUAAUAGUAGAUAUAGAUCUUAUGUGUAGAAAAUGGAGGGCAAAAGAAAAUAAGCUGGAGAGUGAUGAUACAUGAACAACUACUUGUCAAUAUAAGUACACUGAUAAAGGACAAUAGGUACUUACAAGAACAAUGCAGAGCUAAAAAAUUUCAUUGGCAUUGGAUAUAUUCUACAUUAAUGUAACCAUUCAUACAGAUCAGAUAAUUUAGAGCGAACAAUUGAUAAGCAAGCUAUCAUGCAUACUGCUGUCACAUAAUGAAUUAGGUAUGUAUGCAAGUACAGUGAUACAGGACAACAGGUACUAACAAGAGCAAAGCAGCGGGCAGCAUAUUUGCGAUAUCCUGUCGUUCUUUUCAAACCGGAAUUCUUUUUCGAGCAGAUUUCCUGCAAAAAAGAUCCGUAAGGCACAUACGGAAAAGUAGAAGUUCAAAUUGUCAUGUGAUAUCAUAGACAGUAUCUCAUCCUCGGGAACGAGACCAGUGCAUAAUAAGGUUUUUCCAUUCAAUGUCUUCUAAAUUUAGCACAGGAGACUUCAUCAGAAAUUCGUUUAUAGACUUGUCAUCAAAGUAUGAUUUCCCCAGGUAACAUCAAUACUGCUGCAAUGCUUCCUUAAAAAGCGCAAGCAAGCUUUGCUCGUCAUGACUAUCCAGAUUGACCCUCGCCUACUUACAACAAUGUAAUGUAAAUCAUUGAUGUGUUCAAUCAGCAGAAAAUAGGAAAAUAAUCACCAUGAAUAAUAGCACUUACACGUAAGUGGGACAGGAAGAUGUGAAAAUGGUGUUUGUCUUCACUAUAAUCUUCCAAUGAUGAGAAUAUAUGCACGUAGUCCCUAACAACAUUGAAAGCAUUGUCUUUUAAACUGGGAAUAACUGGAAUGGGGUUCCAAUCUUCAGGAAUUGGCCGUCUCUGCAGUUGGGAUAGGUCUUCGGCCGGUGGACUUGCUGUAUUUUUUGCUGGAGUGGGAUUUUUCUGUGGUACGGCUGGUGCUAUGGCAACUGAAAUCAGCAUAUCUUUUGUUGGAGUGCAGGUCCUGUGUGGUGGGGCUAGUGGUGUGGCCAGUCAAGUAUGGGUACAGUCUGCUGGAGUCGGUUCUACGUUUUGUGUCACUGGUUGUACAACCAAUAUAAGUGGGGUGCUGUCUGAUUUCUCCGGCACAACCACGUUUUUGAAGGACUUUGCUGGUGCUCCUUCAGGUUCGGCAACCACCCUCUUCCUUUUUGAUGUCUGAUGUACAAGAACAACAUUUGAGUGAAAAAACAUGGUAUGAUGACAGAUGGAAUAUGUAUUGAUAAUGAAUGGGCAUGACAUCUCGAC